rnacentral:rRNA from 1 species
UAUCGGAAAGCUUUGGCCGGAAGAUACGUUAUCUAGUGGCGGACGGGUGAGUAACACGUGGGUAACCUGCCUUAUGGAGGGGGAUAACAGAGAGAAAUCACUGCUAAUACCGCAUAAGCACACAGUACCGCAUGGUACAGGGUGAAAAGAUUUAUCGCCAUAAGACGGACCCGCGUCUGAUUAGCCAGUUGGCAGGGUAAAAGCCUACCAAAGCAACGAUCAGUAGCCGAUCUGAGAGGAUGACCGGCCACAUUGGGACUGAGACACGGCCCAAACUCCUACGGGAGGCAGCAGUGGGGAAUAUUGCACAAUGGGGGAAACCCUGAUGCAGCGACGCCGCGUGAGUGAAGAAGUAUUUCGGUAUGUAAAGCUCUAUCAGCAGGGAAGAUAAUGACAGUACCUGACUAAGAAGCCCCGGCUAACUACGUGCCAGCAGCCGCGGUAAUACGUAGGGGGCAAGCGUUAUCCGGAUUUACUGGGUGUAAAGGGAGCGUAGACGGAAUGGCAAGUCUGAAGUGAAAUACCCGGGCUCAACCUGGGAACUGCUUUGGAAACUGUUGUUCUAGAGUGUUGGAGAGGUAAGUGGAAUUCCUGGUGUAGCGGUGAAAUGCGUAGAUAUCAGGAAGAACACCGGAGGCGAAGGCGGCUUACUGGACAAUAACUGACGUUGACGGCUCGAAAGCGUGGGGAUCAAACAGGAUUAGAUANCCUGGUAGUCCACGCUGUAAACGAUGAAUACUAGGUGUCGGGGUGCAAAGCAUCUCGGUGCCGUCGC